rnacentral:rRNA from 1 species
UGCCAGCCGCCGCGGUAAUACGAAGGGAGCUAGCGUUGUUCGGAAUUACUGGGCGUAAAGCGUGCGUAGGUGGAUAUGUAAGUCAGGGGUGAAAUCCCGGAGCUCAACUCCGGAACUGCCUCUGAAACUACAUAUCUUGAGUCUCGGAGGGGAUGGUGGAAUUUCUAAUGUAGCGGUGAAAUGCGUAGAGAUUAGAAGGAACACCGGUGGCGAAGGCGACCAUCUGGACGAGAACUGACACUGAGGUACGAAAGCGUGGGGAGCAAACAGGAUUAGAUA